rnacentral:rRNA from 1 species
AAUGAACGUUGGCGGCGUGGAUUAGGCAUGCAAGUCGCGCGGACCAGCAAUGGUUAGCGGCGAAAGGGAGAGUAACGCGUGGGUUAUCUGCCUCUUGGGCCAGGAUAGCUGCGGGAAACUGCAGGUAAUACUGGAUAAUGUCUUCGGACCAAAGGUGUGAUUCCGCCGGGAGAUGAGCCCGCGUCCUAUUAGCUAGUUGGUGAGGUAAUGGCUCACCAAGGCUUAGAUGGGUAGGGGGUGUGAGAGCACGACCCCCCUCACUGGGACUGAGACACUGCCCAGACACCUACGGGUGGCUG